AUUGAACGCUGGCGGCAUGCUUUACACAUGCAAGUCGAACGGUAACAGGGUGCUUGCACCGCUGACGAGUGGCGAACGGGUGAGUAAUGCGUCGGAACGUGCCGAGUAGUGGGGGAUAACGCAGCGAAAGUUGUGCUAAUACCGCAUACGUACUGAGGUAGAAAGUGGGGGACCUUCGGGCCUCACGCUAUUCGAGCGGCCGACGUCUGAUUAGCUAGUAGGUGAGGUAAAGGCUCACCUAGGCGACGAUCAGUAGCGGGUCUGAGAGGAUGAUCCGCCACACUGGGACUGAGACACGGCCCAGACUCCUACGGGAGGCAGCAGUGGGGAAUUUUGGACAAUGGGCGAAAGCCUGAUCCAGCCAUGCCGCGUGUCUGAAGGAGGCCUUCGGGUUGUAAAGGACUUUUGUCAGGGAGGAAAUCCCUAGUGCUAAUAACACUGGGGGAUGACAGUACCUGAAGAAUACGCACCGGCUAACUACGUGCCAGCAGCCGCCGUAA
rnacentral:rRNA from 1 species